CAGCCAUCAACACUUUGCUGGUACAAAGAAUGUGACCUCUGAAGAAGCUGGCAGCCCUUGCAACCAAGUGAGCUAGUAGAGUGCACCCGGCUUUCCUGUGUCUUCUGGGGUGUUGCUGGGGCUCUGCUGUUUCGUCUGGUCCACUAAUGGGACUAUCAUCUGAGUGUUUUACGGAUUUGUAUUUGUGGCACUACUGGGCAUGGCUCCAUUUGGUCUCAGACACCCAUGGAGCUGUUUUGAACAGAGGAGAGAAAUUCAGGAUUCUACUCAGCCCCUUAACUGGUGUUUGUUUGGAAGCUCACCAUUUGUUUAUCCAACUCUCCUAAAUCAAUCUUCAAUUCAUCUUGCUCAUGGUGUUCCCCAUGUUAUCAUCAUUUGUGCUAAUCUGAGGAUUUGGUGAUGCUGCAUUUCCUGUGAUAUUCCUACGUUGCUCCUGCGAGUUUAUAUUUUCAACCUUCUGAAACCUCCCGUGCAAGAUUUGAUGCUGAUGUUGAUGACAUCACCCAAAAACAUUGACAGGAGGUUUGCAGACCAAGUUUAUACAGGGUCAAGGUCAAGAAAAAGAAGUGAAGACUAUGAAACUUGCAGAUUGGAGAAGACCUAAUGUGUCAGUUAGACCCUGCAAUGGUGCCCAGUGAUCCCCAACUGCAAGAAAUUCCUGUACUUUGU
rnacentral:lncRNA from 1 species